UUGGAGACACACAUUGACUUUGAGAGACUAUUAGAAGAAUUAGGAUCAGAAGCAACCAAUCUUCCUGAUAUAUCACAAGGUAUACAGUCACGUGACACUACUCACUGAUCACGUGAUCACAGGCUAGUCUGAUGGUUUGAGACGAGCGAUAGAUCAUCAAGCAAUGAGUCUGCCUCAGUCUCCAGAGACGUUUGGCUUAAAGAAACAAAUGAUGAUAAGAUGAUUGAUUGGGUAAUUAGUGUGGGCGUGG